UCUGCUUCUCAAAGCAUACUUUUCGUUGACGGAAAAGAUCUCCAAACUUUGUCAGCGCGACUUCCGGGCCGCGCUUUCUUUUG
rnacentral:ncRNA from 1 species